UACGUAGGGUGCAAGCGUUGUCCGGAAUUAUUGGGCGUAAAGAGCUCGUAGGCGGCCUGUCGCGUCGGCUGUGAAAACUCAGGGCUCAACCCUGAGCCUGCAGUCGAUACGGGCAGGCUAGAGUCCGGCAGGGGAGACUGGAAUUCCUGGUGUAGCGGUGAAAUGCGCAGAUAUCAGGAGGAACACCGGUGGCGAAGGCGGGUCUCUGGGCCGGAACUGACGCUGAGGAGCGAAAGCGUGGGGAGCGAACAG
rnacentral:rRNA from 1 species